rnacentral:rRNA from 1 species
AGUGAACGCUGGCGGUAGGCCUAACACAUGCAAGUCGAACGGCGGCACAGUAAGAGCUUGCUCUUACGGGUGGCGAGUGGCGGACGGGUGAGGAAUACAUCGGAAUCUACUUUUUCGUGGGGGAUAACGUAGGGAAACUUACGCUAAUACCGCAUACGACCUACGGGUGAAAGCAGGGGAUCUUCGGACCUUGCGCGAUUGAAUGAGCCGAUGUCGGAUUAGCUAGUUGGCGGGGUAAAGGCCCACCAAGGCGACGAUCCGUAGCUGGUCUGAGAGGAUGAUCAGCCACACUGGAACUGAGACACGGUCCAGACUCCUACGGGAGGCAGCAGUGGGGAAUAUUGGACAAUGGGCGCAAGCCUGAUCCAGCCAUACCGCGUGGGUGAAGAAGGCCUUCGGGUUGUAAAGCCCUUUUGUUGGGAAAGAAAAGCAGCAGGUUAAUACCCCGCUGUCCUGACGGUACCCAAAGAAUAAGCACCGGCUAACUUCGUG